CUCCUGUGAUGACUUGUUUUUUUUUGUUUUUUUUCUUGUGCCACGUGUCUGGGCCACUGAUUACUAGUGAUGGGACUGAGGAGCUGGGGAG